GAUCCUGGCUCAGGACGAACGCUGGCGGCGCGCCUAACACAUGCAAGUCGAACGAGAGAGAAGGAGCUUGCUUCUUCGAUCGAGUGGCGAACGGGUGAGUAACGCGUGAGGAACCUGCCUCAAAGAGGGGGACAACAGUUGGAAACGACUGCUAAUACCGCAUAAGCCCACGGGUCGGCAUCGACCUGAGGGAAAAGGAGCAAUCCGCUUUGAGAUGGCCUCGCGUCCGAUUAGCUAGUUGGUG
rnacentral:rRNA from 1 species